rnacentral:rRNA from 1 species
AUGAAGUUCCGCACGUAUGACAAAGCAUGUGGCUUUUACAACACUUAUGCAAGAUAUGUAGGGUUUGGCAUACACAAGAGGGCAAACCACAAGACAAAUGCCUACAUUCUUUGUUCAAGAGAAGAGACACACAAGCAGACUUUGUCAGAUUAUGACCGGAAAUUUGAGAAGACAUCAAAAAGAAUUGGCUGCAAGGCAAAAAUUAGAGUCAAAAAGAGGAAGGAUGGAAAAUUUGUGAUAAAAAUGGUUGAACUCAACCACAAUCACAUGAUGUUGGAAAGCAUCAGGAUGCUUUUGCACAUGCAUCGAAGAGACGAUCCUUUGAUUGAUGAGUUGGUGAAAGACAUGCAGCUAGACAACCACACACACGCACAGAUGAUGUCAACAUUGUCGCGUAUGUCUGGUGGUCUGUAGUACAUGGGACAUACUAGCCAAGACUGGGCCAACAAGAAACAGAAGUUUGCCAGAGAAGAGUCCCAAGAUGACGUCAAGAAACUUCUGGAUUUCUUCGAGAAGACGCAGACGAUAAACCCAGAGUUCUUCUAUGAUUAUGACGCCAAUGCAAGUUGCAAAGGAUCCUCUGAAGAUUUUGGAGUCAGCGUUACAUUUGACACGACAUAUAAAACUAACAAAAUCCACAUGCCGCUAGGAGUCUUCGUGGGAGUGAACCAUCAUCUACAGAGCACCAUAUUUGUUGUCGCCCUCGUGUGAGAUGAAACAAUACCGUCCUUCAAGUGGGUUUUCAAAACAUUCCUAAGGUGUAUGAACAACAAGCCGCCAAUCUACACGCCCACGGACCAUUGUUCUUCAAUGAAGGCAGCAUUAAAAACAAUCCUCCCAGAUACAUUACAUAAGUUGCGUCGGUGGCAUAUCAUGAAGAAUUUCAAAGACCACCUCGCCUUGCUGUAUAAGGCAUACGAACUCAAGGAUGACCUCAAUGCGGUGCUGAACCACCCACUAAUGUCGUCAGAAUUCGAACGGGCAUGGAAGGACCUCAUGCACAAAUACAACUUGCAAAACGACGAAGUGAUGAAUUCGUUCUGGGAUGACAGGCACGAGUGGAUCUCGUCUUACUACAAGGAAAUUUUCUGUGCUUGGAUGACUUCCACGCAGAGAAGCGAGAGCAUGAACCACAUAUUGAAGAAAAACUUCGUCAAGGAGAAGCAUGAUCUCCAUCUGUUUUCUCAAUAG